rnacentral:rRNA from 1 species
AGUGAACGCUGGCGGUAGGCCUAACACAUGCAAGUCGAACGGCAGCACAGUAAGAGCUUGCUCUUACGGGAGGCGAGUGGCGGACGGGUGAGGAAUACAUCGGAAUCUACUUUUUCGUGGGGGAUAACGUAGGGAAACUUACGCUAAUACCGCAUACGACCUACGGGUGAAAGCAGGGGAUCUUCGGACCUUGCGCGAUUGAAUGAGCCGAUGUCGGCUUAGCUAGUUGGCGGGGUAAAGGCCCACCAAGGCGACGAUCCGUAGCUGGUCUGAGAGGGUGAUCAGCCACACUGGAACUGAGACACGGUCCAGACUCCUACGGGAGGCAGCAGUGGGGAAUAUUGCACGAUGGGGGCGAGCCUGAUCCAGCCAUACCGCGUGGGUGAAGAAGGCGUUCGGGUGGUAAAACCCUUUUGUUGGGAAAGAAAAGCAGCAGGUUAAUACCCCGCUGUUCUGACGGUACCCAAAGAAGAAGCACCGGCUAACUUCGUG